AGUGAACGCUGGCGGCGUGCUUAACACAUGCAAGUCGAACGAGAACGGAUUAUAGCUUGCUAUAAUUGUCAGCUAAGUGGCGCACGGGUGAGUAAUGUAUAGGUAAUAUGCCUCUUACUAAGGGAUAACAAAUGGAAACGUUUGCUUAUACCUUAUACUCCUUAUUAACAGAAGUUAAUAAGGGAAAGAUUUAUUGGUAAGAGAUUAGCCUGUAUUGUAUCAGUUAGUUGGUGGGGUAAUGGCCUACCAAGACUAUGACACAUAACUGGUUUGAGAGGAUGAUCAGUCACACUGGAACUGAGACACGGUCCAGACUCCUACGGGAGGCAGCAGUGGGGAAUAUUGCACAAUGGACGGAAGUCUGAUGCAGCAACGCCGCGUGGAGGAUGACACAUUUCGGUGCGUAAACUCCUUUUAUAUGAGAAGAUAAUGACGGUAUUAUAUGAAUAAGCACCGGCUAACUCCGUGCCAGCCGCCGCAGUAAGAC
rnacentral:rRNA from 1 species